UUUUUCAAGACAAACUAGAUAAGAUGCAGAUUGGAUCAGGCGAAGAUGUGAAUGACCUCAACUAUGAUUAUGACAAUGAACAGUGCAUAGCACGUGGUGAAAAUUAAUAGAUGGGAUGGUGGACAGCGGAAGGGAUAAUGAUGCAGCGGCGGCGUGACUAAUGUGAACAGAACUCGAAACUCUAAAGGAACUAGACGCUAAGACCAGCAACUUACACGACGAUGCAACCGAUAAUUCAACUAUGCAAGCAAUGAAUAGAAAAUUGCAAAGGCUCAGACUGGCUUGGAUAAAGGAUGAACAGAUCUAACUUUUUUUGUGUGGCUUUUUCUUGGACAAUAGGUAAGAAAAUAAAUCUAAUCUAGGAAAACUGGAAAUUCUCACCGAGCAACCUGAAAACUGAUACCACGUGAUAGAGGCGGGGGUGUCCCGAUCUUUCGAUGAGAUGAUAACUAUCGAUUUGGUGGAGACGACUUUGACGAUCCGACUACAAACGUGCACGACGUUGCGCCUUAGCAAUCGCUAAACCAACUCCGAGAGGUUAUUGACCAUGCUGGAGCACGAUCAACCUGACCACGAAGGUCUAUUCCUGCAAGCAAUCGAAGAACGAGCAAGAAUAUGAUAAAGCAAUCUGAAUAUUGCGAAUAUAUAUGAAGUAUUUAUAAUGGUGGGGAUCCGUAAGCGGUCUUGGUCUGGUCGUUGGACACAAACGAAGUACACGAAGUUGCAAUGGCUAACUUUUAACUAAACAAAUCCCAAGGAAAAGCUACUAAAUGGAUCUACUUAUAUAGGAGCAAGGGGUGGCGGCCAAGGAGGUGGGAGGACGUCCCAAGGCAGCCUAAAACUAAAUCUAGGUCGUACAAGGCCAAUGGGCCCAAGUGGAGGUGAUGUAACACCUUUGGACUUGUAGUUUGACUCGGAUUCUGCUGCAGCAUCAGAUUGUUUCGUCCACAACUCAACGCUCCGGACGAAUUUGAAGGUGUUUCCAAUUGGGUUGGAAAGUGCACGAAAUCUAGUUUCCAACAAAAAAAGAAUCACCCAAUUCGGAGUCCGUAUGAAAAACUUGUGUGCGUUUUGAGUCAGGUAUGUCUGUGUAGUCCGAAUCUAAAUCCAGAACGUGAGAGACUUGGACUCUAUCUUCUCUUGGGCCAAAAGUGACGUGAGAGAACUUUUUGGACAACAAAUAAACAUCUCUUUCUUCCUUAUCUUCAUAUGUGAAUUGUACAAAUGUCCCAUACACCUGCAAUUAGACAAAACACAAAAGUGUGUGAAGUAUUUUUGUUCUGGAUAACAUAAAUAGAUUAUUGAAUAGUUUGCACUAGAAAUCACCUGACAAAUAUGCAUAUAUGCAAUAUUUUUGGUCAUAUCCAAGGUAGUCAUGUCCUCAUCAAUCCCCUUCUUGAAAACAAAGCCGUCCUUGGCGUUGCUUAAUCUGAAAUGUGGCUAACAAAAGAGACAAGGUGUACAUGUUCUAUAUGUAUAUGUCAUCUAUUUUUACUUCCCUUGAUUUUUGCACAUAUGACACAUGUAUACAUGAGUAACUUUCAUAGAUCAUAAAAUAUAAAGCCAAAAUAUUAUCAUAAGUAGAAGGCAUGAAAAUAUUGCAACUCAGUUUGCACAUAUAAGUGAAGCUCUUAUUCAUAUCAAAAGAUUGACAAUAUUCAUCAUUAAACCAUCCCAACAUUUGUGAAUAAACCUUACGUGUAUCAAAUUUACAUGCUACAACAUGCUUAAAUAAGAAAACAUGCAAUAAGUCAUUUUACACAGAAUGAUCACCAAGAUUAGAGGUCAUAUCGAAAUGAUUAAACAUUGGCACAAUUAUUUCAAAAUUUAUUUUAUCCAAAUCUAAUUUAUGUCCUGAUUCACAUGGUUCUUUGACAUCAACAGUUAAUUCAAUGGGCGACAUCAAAAUUGUUGGUAUUUCAGUUGUUUGAUCACAUGAUGCAUUCAUGAUAGUAACAUGAUUCUCUAAACUAGGUGGCGUGCUCAAAUCAAUAGGUAACUCAACACAUGAUGUAUUCAAGUUAACUAGGGAUGCAUCAUUCUCAUGUCAAGUUAUAUCAUCAAUACCUUUACUGUUACCUUGUCGCGAAGACGUAGCUGAUGUAGGUACGGACGUUGACAAUGCGCCAUACUCUUGAGAUGAUGUGACGCUCACAAUCCGAGGUGGGGCUGUUCUAGUAGGUGCGAUGGUGGAGGAACCAGCCAGCGAUGGUGAGCAUGAACUGGAAUAGUAGUUGUUGUAGUCACCCAAUGCAUCCUCCUGUAUCUGUCUCUCAAAGGUACAAGCACGAACAUACAUACCAGUAAUGCAAUGAGGAAUAUAGUGAAAUCUUGCACGGAUAUCAUGGUUCAAACCACCAAAAAAAUCUAUUCAUUGUAUCAUCCUCAGAUUCUUCUAUGUCACAAUGAUGCAUAUAAGAUUUGAACUCUUGGUAGUAAGCAUGAACAAUUGUUUUCUCAUUACAUCUUUCAAAUCUUUCCAAGUUGUGGGUUGGUUAUCAAUGUUUUUCUUACAAUGCACACUCCAUCAAACAGAAGCAAAACCAGUGAAUGCUCUAGUGGCAGCUCGUACUCGCUCAAGUUUAGAAAAGUCAUGAUGACUAAAAACUUGUUCUACUUCAAGCUCCCAAGCUAGAUAGAUAGUAGGAUUAAAUCUACCCUCAAAUGAUGGUAAAGAGCUAACCUGGCCAUGUGCUUGUGUGUGUUAUCCCAACUCUCGUGAUGGUGAAGAUGUGUUCAUCGUCCAAUAACUUCUAUCUCCAGAACCUGUCAUGAUUAGUAGAAACAAGAAACAAAAUUCAAGAAUAAUAUUCCUAUGAACUACUAGGAUGUGGUUGUAACAUGCUCACAGUAAAGCAACUAUCAAUAUCUUACAAGUUCUUACCACGCGGCAGGUGGUGACAGGCAACCAGCGGUGUCAAGUAACUCUGAAGUUGUGUAAAGCGAUUGCCAGGGGAAUGCACGUAUACAUAGUGUAGAAAUAUGUGGAGCUGGGUUGGCUAUAUAUGGUAGCAAAAAAUUAGCAAUAAUCAAUUCAAAGAUGCAAUGUUGAAUAAACGCUCAACGACGGUACUGUGCUGGUCCUAGGCUAGACCAGACUAGAGACGCGAGCUUAGAACACUAAUGAGGUCACGGUGUAGCACAACUUGCAUCAAUGAAGGAUACUAAGUAGCUCUGGACAGCAAGAUAUAAGUGAAGAUCACAAUGGCAGUGAAGAUAAUGAUGAAAAACAACUGCCUAGCAGGAUAUACAACAACUCUCUCCCCAACUUUCCUCUUGAAAAGUUUGAGCCAAUUUUUUGAUAAUUUUUUUGAAAGAAUGCUACUAAUCAAGUUUUCCAAUGCAAAAAAGAAUCACUCAAUUCCGAAGUGAUAUGAGAAGUCAAAGAAUUCAAAAGAUGGCCUGAACAAUAGGAACAAGCUGUGUUCAUGAACUUCGGAGGGCAAAAAGACCUAUUUAGAAGCCGAUUUUGAGGUGUCAAAUAUUGAACAAGCUUCUGCAACUAUUUAGAUGCGCCUCGUCGCUAGCUUUAAUUUGAGUACUCACGGAGCUAAAACGGACUUCGUAUGAGGAAGAUACACCUGUUUUACUGAAUAGUGCGCAAAACAGAUUCCAAUCCGAAUUCAGGUACGAGAUUGAUUCUAGAUACAUCUGAAUUUUUUUUUCUCUUUUUUUUAACACACUUGUUUUUCUUUUUCUUCUCUCUCUUUUUCUUUUUCUUAUUUCCUUUUUUCUUUUUUUUUCUCUAUCUUUUUUUCUCCCUCUUUCCAAGACAAACUAGAUAAGAUGCAGACUGGAUCAGGCGAAGAUGUGAAUGACCUCAACUAUGAUUAUGACAAUGAACAGUGCGUAGCACGUGGUGGAAAUUGAUGGAUGGGAUGGUGGACAGCGGAAGGGAUAAUGAUGCAGCGGCGGCGUGACUAAUGUGAAUAGAACUCAAAACUCUAAAGGAACUAGACACUAAGACCAG
rnacentral:lncRNA from 1 species